rnacentral:lncRNA from 1 species
AGAGGGAGAAAGACAGGGAAAUUGUUCAGUACUACGGGUACACAAGAUGAGGCUGGCCUUGAACUUGAAGCCAUCUUCCUGCUUCUGCCUCUCAAGUGCUUGGAUUACAGGUGUGCACCACAUACCCAGCAGCCAUUUCUUUCUUACUGUCAUCUUCACUCCAUCAAGUUCUAGCAAUAAUACCUAAAUAUCUCUAGAAUAUGACCACAUCUUCCCACCAAAAUGGCCACAUCUUGGUCUAAGCUACUAUUAUGUUUCAAUUCCUACAAAAGCCUCUGAACUGAGCUUGUUUCUAUUUCAUUUCUUUGCACUGCAUUCUCCACUCAGUAGUAAAAUGAUAGGUUAAAAGUGCAAAUUUGAUUAUGUUCUACACAAUCACAC